GCUUGGCAGAAUCAGCGG
rnacentral:snRNA from 1 species